ACUUUGAUUAUGGCUCGGGACGAACGCUGGCGGCGCGCCUAACACAUGCAAGUCGAGCGGGAAGCUUUUUAAGGAUUCUUCGGAUGAAUUAAAAAGUGGAGAGCGGCGGACGGGUGAGUAACGCGUGAGAAACCUGCCCUAUACAGGGGGAUAGCCAUUGGAAACGAUGAUUAAUACCCCAUAUGACCACGGUAUCGCAUGAUACAGCGGUGAAAACUCCGGUGGUAUAGGAUGGUCUCGCGUCUGAUUAGCUAGUUGGUGGGGUAACGGCCUACCAAGGCGACGAUCAGUAGCCGGCCUGAGAGGGUGACCGGCCACACUGGAACUGAGACACGGUCCAGACUCCUACGGGAGGCAGCAGUGGGGAAUAUUGCACAAUGGGCGAAAGCCUGAUGCAGCGACGCCGCGUGAACGAUGAAGGCUUUCGAGUCGUAAAGUUCUGUUCUUGGGGAAGAUAACGACGGUACCCAAGGAGAAAGCACCGGCUAAAUACGUGCCAGCAGCCGCGGUA
rnacentral:rRNA from 1 species